CGCCGCGUGCAGGAAGGAGCCCUUCGGGGUGUAAACUGCUGUCGUGCGGGACGAAGGGUUUGUAGGCGAAUAGUCUAUAGACUUGACGGUACCGCAGGAGGAAGCCCAGGCUAACCUCGUGCCAGCAGCCGCGGUAAUA
rnacentral:rRNA from 1 species